GGCUCUGUGGCACAGUGGAUAGUGCAUUGGUCUUCUAGUUGCCUAGGUAGAGGUAUUCAAAGUUCGUGGGUUUGAGUCCCACCAGAGUUG
rnacentral:tRNA from 1 species